GAUGAACGCUGGCGGCGUGCUUAACACAUGCAAGUCGAACGAAGCACUCUACUUGAUUUCCUUCGGGAAUGAUUGUUCUGUGACUGAGUGGCGGACGGGUGAGUAACGCGUGGAUAACCUGCCUCACACAGGGGGAUAACAGUUGGAAACGGCUGCUAAUACCGCAUAAGCGCACAGCACCGCAUGGUGCAGUGUGAAAAAACUCCGGUGGUGUGAGAUGGAUCCGCGUCUGAUUAGCUGGUUGGCGGGGUAACGGCCCACC
rnacentral:rRNA from 1 species